rnacentral:tRNA from 1 species
UAGCUCAGUGGUAGAGCACUUGCCUGGCAUGUGUGAGGCCCUGGGUUCAAACCCAG